UUAAGUUCAGCGGGUAUUCCUACCUGGUCCGAGGUCAACCUUUCAGAAGUUGGGUGUUUUACGGACGUGGACGCGCCGCGCUCCCGGUGCGAGUGUGCAAACUACUGCGCAGGAAAGGCUGCGGCGAGACCGCCACUGUAUUUCGGGGCCGGCCCCGUAAAGGGCCGAUCCCCAACGCCGGACCCCCGGAGGGGUUCGAG
rnacentral:misc_RNA from 1 species